AACCAGCACCUGCAUUUAUUUUCUCCUCCAGAGUUUUUUUCCAUAGGCAUUUAUCUCUGAUGUGAAAGCCUGUAAAAUUCUUUUUGAAAUGUAUGGAUCUUCUAAAUUUUCCUUAUCUUUCCUACCACUAGUAUCUUCAAAGAACUCAAACAGAUUAGCUCAGCAUGACCUCUGUGCGGGAGUGUGUUCUUUAUUCUUUCAGUGUCUGUACACACCCCCCCCCCCACCCCAUCUCACUCCUAACCCCCUUCUCUCCAAGAUGUGAAUCUCCCCUCCCCCCACUUCUUUCCCUGCCCCCUUUCACAGACUGUUUAGUAUGUUAGUCCUACCCCAAACUCCUCCCCUGUUAUUCCCCUAUUGGUUGCUGUUCCUAUACCCCUCCUCAUAAGUCCUUGUAUAAAACAUCUGCUCGCCCCCCGUAAGGGGUCUUGGGGCACGCAAAAUAAACCGAACCUGUUCACCCCCAAGUCCCGUGCCCCCUUCAUCUCUCCCUGCACCGAUAACUGGGACUGCAGAGCUUUUGAAGGGGGACCGGCCGCCCGUUCUCUUCCCUCGCCGCCCAACACGCCCGCGCUUGGUAGUGUCGCGGUGAAAGGGGACCGCAACGCAACAGAUGGUAGCAAGAGGAUGGUUCCCUCCUUCGUCUUGUAAAACAAAUGGGCAAAUUCGUGGGGGCGCCCGCCUCACGGAAGAAGAAGGAGGGAAGAGGAACAUCUGCGGUCGUAGAAGCUCUGCCGGACGCUAAGAGGAGCCGAGCACUGAGCGAAAAGAAUUCGGCUCCGGGACCCGUCUUUGUUCUCGCCUCCGCGCGCUCUACCCCACCCCCACCGAGAUCAGACGUACUGCACUGGGGCAGACGUGCUGCAGGGGCUUUGAAGGGGGGGUAGACCUACCCCAGAAAAAAGAGGGCGGUUUGGCAGCGGCUCAAGGGAGCCAGGAGAACAGCUCAUCAGGGGACGACACUUGAACGAGACCACCAGAGGCCGAUAGUGGCUGAGCCCAAGGCUUCAGGGACGAGUUUUGGGUGCAGCCGAGAUUGGCUGGACCUGCCUGUAGGUCCCGGGAACACCUAAGCCUCUGGAAGAGCCAAACCGAGAAGGAACGUCCCCAGUUCGGCGCGACUUUUCCACCAAGUCAAGGAGAAGAAUCAAGCCAUCUCCACCCGGGGCCCAGAGGAAAUAAAGAAUAAAAUCAGACAAGCCAUGUCGCCGCUCGCUGCUUCAACUCUGCUAUACAUCUCCAGCACCGCAACAGCCCAAGUUUCGAAUCAGAUCAAGCUGUGAAUCCUGCUAAAUGUUUUACCCUGAAUUCAGAAUUUGUUUAUGUCAAUUUUAUACGCUUUCUACAUUAAUUUGUUUUAUUGUAAUUGUAAUUAAUUUGUACUUUUCUGAUGUUUUUCAACUUAUUUCUGUUUAACAAUUUGUAAUGUUACUAUAUGAUCUUGUUGUAUUUUACAUAUGAAGUUUAUAUUGUUUAUAUGCAGUAUUAAUUUGUUUAAAUGUCAGAAUUCUCCCUUCUUUUGUAAAAAGAAAAAGAGGGAGAUGCGGGAGUGUGUUCUUUAUUCUUUCAGUGUCUGUCCCCCCCCCCCCCCCCAUCUCACUCCUAACCCCCUUCUCUCCAAGAUGUGAAUCUCCCCUCCCCCCACUUCUUUCCCUGCCCCCUUUCACAGACUGUUUAGUAUGUUAGUCCUACCCCAAACUCCUCCCCUGUUAUUCCUCUAUUGGUUGCUGUUCCUAUACCCCUCCUCAUAAGUCCUUGUAUAAAACAUCUGCUCGCCCCCCCCAAGGGGUCUUGGGGCACGCGAAAUAAACCGAACCUGUUCACCCCAA